CAGAAAUAUUAUUUAUGGAUCGAGGGGGAGAAUACGUGUCUGCCAUUUGUAAGACUUAUCCCUAUACUCCAGAUAAGACUUCCGAGAAUUCACAAAUAACAACAUCUUUCACUUCUGAAAUACAAUGCAAGGAACCUCCACCAUGCUUCACUGUUGCCUGCAGACACUCAUUCUUGUACCGCUUUUCAGCCCUUCGGAGAACAAACUGCCUUCUGCUAUAGCCAAAUAUUUAAAAUGUUGACUCAUCAGUCCAGAGAACCUGCUGCCAUUUUUCUGCACCUCAGUUCCUGUGUAUUUGAGCAAAGUUGAGUUGCUUGGCCUUGUUUCCACGUCGGAGGUAUGGCUUUUUGGCCACAAUUCUCCCACGAAGACCACUUCUGACCAGACUUCUCCGCACAGUAGAUGGGUGUACCUGGGUCCCACUGGAUUCUGCCAAUUCUGAGCUGAUGGCACUGCUGGACAUCUUCCGAUUGAGAAAGCUUGGACAGCACAUCUGGAAACCCCUGUCUGCCUUGAAAUUUCUGCCAGGGAGAGACCUUGCUGAUGCAGUAUAACUACCUUGUGUCUUGUUGCUGUGCUCAGUCUUGCCAUGGUGUAUGACUUCUGACAGUAAACUGUCAGCAACCUCACCUUGGAAGCAGAGUUUGGCUAUUCCUCACCCAGUUUUAACCCUCCUAUACAACUGUUUCUGUGUCAGUUAAUGAUUGUGUUUCAACCUACAUAUUAAAUUGAUGAUCCUGAGCUCCUGUUUGGUAUAAUUGGUUCAUCACACACCUGACUA